AGUGAACGCUGGCGGUAGGCCUAACACAUGCAAGUCGAACGGCAGCACAGUAAGAGCUUGCUCUUACGGGUGGCGAGUGGCGGACGGGUGAGGAAUACAUCGGAAUCUACUUUUUCGUAGGGGAUAACGUAGGGAAACUUACGCUAAUACCGCAUACGACCUACGGGUGAAAGCAGGGGAUCUUCGGACCUUGCGCGAUUGAAUGAGCCGAUGUCGGAUUAGCUAGUUGGCGGGGUAAAGGCCCACCAAGGCGACGAUCCGUAGCUGGUCUGAGAGGAUGAUCAGCCACACUGGAACUGAGACACGGUCCAGACUCCUACGGGAGGCAGCCGUGGGGAAUAUUGGACAAUGGGCGCAAGCCUGAUCCAGCCAUACCGCGUGGGUGAAGAAGGCCUUCGGGUUGUAAAGCCCUUUUGUUGGGAAAGAAAAGCAGCAGGUUAAUACCCCGCUGUCCUGACGGUACCCAAAGAAUAAGCACCGGCUAACUUCGUG
rnacentral:rRNA from 1 species